rnacentral:rRNA from 1 species
AGUGGCGCACGGGUGAGUAACGCGUGGAUAAUCUACCCAAUGAUCUGGGAUAACAUCUCGAAAGGGGUGCUAAUACCGGAUAAGACCACGGAGUCUCUGGAUUCCGCGGUAAAAGGUGGGGACCUUCGGGCCUACCGUCAUCGGAUGAGUCCGCGUACCAUUAGCUAGUUGGUGGGGUAAUGGCCCACCAAGGCAACGAUGGUUAGCUGGUCUGAGAGGAUGAUCAGCCACACUGGAACUGAGACACGGUCCAGACUCCUACGGGAGGCAGCAGUGGGGAAUUUUGCGCAAUGGGGGAAACCCUGACGCAGCAACGCCGCGUGAGUGAUGAAGGCUUUCGGGUCGUAAAGCUCUGUCAGAAGGGAAGAAAUGCAGGGGCGCUAAUAUCGUCCUUGCUUGACGGUACCUUCAAAGGAAGCACCGGCUAACUCCGUGCCAGCAGCCGCGGUAAUACGGAGGGUGCGAGCGUUGUUCGGAAUUAUUGGGCGUAAAGCGCGUGUAGGCGGUCUUUUAAGUCUGAUGUGAAAGCCCCGGGCUCAACCCGGGAAGUGCAUUGGAAACUGGGAGACUUGAAUACGGGAGAGGGUAGUGGAAUUCCUAGUGUAGGAGUGAAAUCCGUAGAUAUUAGGAGGAACACCGGUGGCGAAGGCGGCUACCUGGACCGAUAUUGACGCUGAGACGCGAAAGCGUGGGGAGCAAACAGGAUUAGAUACCCUGGUAGUCCACGCCGUAAACGAUGAGUACUAGGUGUUGCGGGUAUUGACCCCUGCAGUGCCGCAGCUAACGCAUUAA